rnacentral:rRNA from 1 species
UACGUAGGGUGCGAGCGUUAAUCGGAAUUACUGGGCGUAAAGGGUGCGCAGGCGGUUGCGGAAGUCAGGCGUGAAAUCCCCGGGCUUAACCUGGGAAUGGCGCUUGAAACUACGUGACUGGAGUAUGGCAGAGGGAGGUGGAAUUCCACGUGUAGCGGUGAAAUGCGUAGAGAUGUGGAGGAACACCGAUGGCGAAGGCAGCCUCCUGGGCCAAUACUGACGCUCAGGCACGAAAGCGUGGGGAGCAAACAGG